rfam:Picea glauca, whole genome shotgun sequence.
GUCUUAUAGCAUAGCAUUAAUGCAUUGAAUCCCAUUAGAACUCCGUAGUUAACCACGCUCGGGCUAGAGUGGUAUUGGGAUGGGUGAUCGACCGGGAAGUCCUAUUGUUUUACAUU